CUUAGCAUGCAAGUCGACGGCAGCAUAGGAGCUUGCUCCUGAUGGCGAGUGGCGAACGGGUGAGUAAUAUAUCGGAACGUGCCCUAGAGUGGGGGAUAACUAGUCGAAAGACUAGCUAAUACCGCAUACGAUCUACGGAUGAAAGUGGGGGAUCGCAAGACCUCAUGCUCCUGGAGCGGCCGAUAUCUGAUUAGCUAGUUGGUGGGGUAAAAGCCUACCAAGGCAACGAUCAGUAGCUGGUCUGAGAGGACGACCAGCCACACUGGGACUGAGACACGGCCCAGACUCCUACGGGAGGCAGCAGUGGGGAAUUUUGGACAAUGGGGGCAACCCUGAUCCAGCAAUGCCGCGUGAGUGAAGAAGGCCUUCGGGUUGUAAAGCUCUUUUGUCAGGGAAGAAACGGUAGUAGCGAAUAACUAUUACUAAUGACGGUACCUGAAGAAUAAGCACCGGCUAACUACGUGCCAGCAGCCGCGGUAAUACGUAGGGUGCAAGCGUUAAUCGGAAUUACUGGGCGUAAAGCGUGCGCAGGCGGUUGUGUAAGUCAGAUGUGAAAUCCCCGGGCUCAACCUGGGAAUUGCAUUUGAGACUGCACGGCUAGAGUGUGUCAGAGGGGGGUAGAAUUCCACGUGUAGCAGUGAAAUGCGUAGAUAUGUGGAGGAAUACCGAUGGCGAAGGCAGCCCCCUGGGGAUAACACUGAC
rnacentral:rRNA from 1 species